rnacentral:rRNA from 1 species
GACGAACGCUGGCGGCGUGCCUAAUACAUGCAAGUUGAGCGCUGAAGGUUGGUACUUGUACCAACUGGAUGAGCAGCGAACGGGUGAGUAACGCGUGGGGAAUCUGCCUUUGAGCGGGGGACAACAUUUGGAAACGAAUGCUAAUACCGCGUAAAAACUUUAAACACAAGUUUUAAGUUUGAAAGAUGCAAUUGCAUCACUCAAAGAUGAUCCCGCGUUGUAUUAGCUAGUUGGUGAGGUAAAGGCUCACCAAGGCGAUGAUACAUAGCCGACCUGAGAGGGUGAUCGGCCACAUUGGGACUGAGACACGGCCCAAACUCCUACGGGAGGCAGCAGUAGGGAAUCUUCGGCAAUGGACGAAAGUCUGACCGAGCAACGCCGCGGGAGUGAAGAAGGGUUUCGGAUCGUAAAACUCGGUUGGUAGAGAAGAACGUUGGUGAGAGUGGAAAGCUCAUCAAGUGACGGUAACUACCCAGAAAGGGACGGCUAACUACGUG